rnacentral:tRNA from 1 species
GCUGGGGUUGGGGCUCAGAGGUAGAGCACUCACCUAGCACGUGUGAGGCACUGGGUUCUAUCCUCAGCACCAGGU